rnacentral:rRNA from 1 species
GAUGAGCGCUGGCGGCGUGCCUAAUACAUGCAAGUCGAGCGAACAGACGAGGAGCUUGCUCCUUCGACGUUAGCGGCGGACGGGUGAGUAACACGUAGGUAACCUACCUAUAAGACUGGGAUAACUUCGGGAAACCGGAGCUAAUACCGGAUAAUAUUUCGAACCGCAUGGUUCGAUAGUGAAAGAUGGCUUUGCUAUCACUUAUAGAUGGACCUGCGCCGUAUUAGCUAGUUGGUAAGGUAACGGCUUACCAAGGCAACGAUACGUAGCCGACCUGAGAGGGUGAUCGGCCACACUGGAACUGAGACACGGUCCAGACUCCUACGGGAGGCAGCAGUAGGGAAUCUUCCGCAAUGGGCGAAAGCCUGACGGAGCAACGCCGCGUGAGCGAUGAAGGUCUUCGGAUCGUAAAACUCUGUUAUUAGGGAAGAACAAACGUGUAAGUAACUGUGCACGUCUUGAUGGUACCUAAUCAGAAAGCCACGGCUAACUACGUG